UACGGAGGGAGCUAGCGUUGUUCGGAAUUACUGGGCGUCAAGCGCACGUAGGCGGCUUUUUAAGUCAGGGGUGAAAUCCCGGGGCUCAACCCCGGAACUGCCCUUGAAACUGGAGAGCUAGAAUCUUGGAGAGGCGAGUGGAAUUCCGAGUGUAGAGGUGAAAUUUGUAGAUAUUCGGAAGAACACCAGUGGCGAAGGCGACUUACUGGACACAUAUUGACGCUGAGGUGCGAAAGCGUGGGGAGCAAACAGG
rnacentral:rRNA from 1 species